AUCCAAUCAUUUUUGGGCCUAUAGCUCAGUUGGUUAGAGCGCACGCCUGAUAAGCGUGAGGUCAAUGGUUCAACUCCAUUUAGGCCCACGCAUUUCAGCCUGCGGUACAGCUGAAACUAUAGGGGCCAUAGCUCAAUUGGGAGAGCAUCUGCCUUGCAAGCAGAAGGUUAUCGGUUCGAUCCCGAUUGGCUCCACGAAGUUUCGUGUUGUUGGUGGGGAAAGCGCUCCGAUGUGAAUCGGAGAGGUUGCGGGUUCGAUCCCGCUGUGUCCCGAAGAGCGAAGCGACAUCGGGAAUUGGCUCCACGAAUGACAAGAUCAUUCAGCGCAGUUCGCCGCAAGGCGGUUAGUACGCAAGGCGUGCAGCGAAGAAUAAAAAAGAUACACAACGUUCUCAACAAUAUUUCGGAAUUAUGCUCAGGCGAUGCUUCUUUAUAAAGGAGGCGCUUCGCGCGGGAGCACAACUAUCGGCUCAUUGCCGGGACCGGUUCAACUCCGGUUAAUUCCGCUAUCUAAAUCCAAAAGCCGAAUAGUCCUACUAGAUGGACAGCACGAGCGGCUUCGGAUGAGAAGAUAUUGUUCUUUUAACAAGUUAAGUUUUUCCGUAAUAAACAAGUUUAUCGAUAAACAGUCUAUUUGUAUCGAUAAAGAUUUUUGGUUAAAGUUACGAAGGGCAUACGGUGGAUGCCUUGGCACUGAUAGGCGAUGAAGGACGCGGUUAUCGGCGAUACGCCACGGAUAGGUGGAAGCAACCUUAGACCCGUGGAUUUCCGAAUGGGGAAACCCGG
rnacentral:misc_RNA from 1 species